GCCCGCGUUGUCUAAUGGUUAUGACGUCAGACUUCUACAGUCAGCCAGCUGAUUCCCUCCAGGAAUCAGCCGGCUGACCGUUACAUCUGGAGGUUGCGGGUUCGAGUCCCGCCGUGGGUU